rnacentral:tRNA from 1 species
GCGAGAUUCCAGCACAUUGGCCGGGCUGCGCUUCGUUCACAUCGAAGAUGUCAGAAGUUCGAAUCUUCUAUCACCCACCA